CCAAUAGCGUAUAUUAAAGUUGUUGCAGUUAAAAAGCUCGUAGUUGAAUUUCGGGACCAAUAUGUCGGUCGUACUUUGUACGUACUAGCAUUAUUGGUUUCUCCCUUCUGAAGAACCACGAUGUCAUUAAUUUGGUGUCGUGGGGAAUCAGGACUGUUACUUUGAAAAAAUUAGAGUGUUUAAAGCAGGCUCGCGCUUGA
rnacentral:rRNA from 1 species